CCAGGGAAAGGGGCAGUCUCCAGGCUGGGAGAGACUCCCUGUAAAAGAGGAGACAGUAAGACCUCUCAGACUGCUGACUGUUGACUGCUAUACAGGUUCUGAAAUAAUCCAUUUAGAUGACCUGGGAUUUUGAUGUCUUCAUGUUCCAUCAAUGCUUUGCUAUCCACCACCUUGGUAACAUCACAGUUGGGAGUGACUGAUGUUCUUGGAUUCUGAUGUGCCUCUUGUGCAGUCUCAUUGUGAUGUCUUCUUAAUACUCCUUAGUAGUGAAUCUUUGAGCAGGACACCCACCCUAUUCAACGGUGC